CAAAAACAUCGCCUCCUGCAAAAAUCAAUGUAUAGGAGGUCCUGCCUGCCCAGUGACACAUGUUUAACGGCCGCGGUAUUCUGACCGUGCUAAGGUAGCGCAAUCACUUGUCUUUUAAAUGGAGACCUGUAUGAAUGGUGGAACGAGGGCUUAACUGUCUCCCUUCUCCGGUCAAUGAAAUUGAUCUGCCCGUGCAGAAGCGGGCAUGUACAUAUAAGACGAGAAGACCCUUUGGAGCUUAAGAUAUAAGAUCAACUGCACCAAAACCCCAAAUAAAAUGGGACUUACCAAAGCAUCAACUGAUCCACAUCUUCGGUUGGGGCGACCGUGGGGGACAAUAAAGCCCCCAUGUGGAAUGGGAACAUUCCUAGAACCAAGAGAGACAUCUCUAAGUCACAGAACAUCUGACCAAAAAGAUCCGGCAAUAGCCGAUUAACGGACCAAGUUACCCUAGGGAUAACAGCGCAAUCCCCUUCGAAAGCCCAUAUCGACAAGGGGGUUUACGACCUCGAUGUUGGAUCAGGACAUCCUAACGGUGCAGCCGCUGUUGAGGGUUCGUUUGUUCAACGAUUAAAGUCCUACGUGAUCUGAG
rnacentral:rRNA from 1 species